CUCACGCCUGGUCGUACUCACAACCGCAUCAGGUCUCCAAGGUGAGUAGCCUCUAGUCGAUAGAGUAAUGUGGAUAAGGGAAGUCGGCAAAAUAGAUCCGUAACCUCGGGAAAAGGAUUGGCUCUGAGGGUUGGGCCUAGGGGUCUUGGGAACGAAGGAGUAACCUGUGG
rnacentral:rRNA from 1 species